UACGAGGGGGGCAAAUGUUGUUCGGAAUCACUGGGCGUAAAGGGUGCGUAGGCGGGUCUUUAAGUCAGGGGUGAAAUCCUGGAGCUCAACUCCAGAACUGCCUUUGAUACUGAAGAUCUUGAGUUCGGGAGAGGUGAGUGGAACUGCGAGUGUAGAGGUGAAAUUCGUAGAUAUUCGCAAGAACACCAGUGGCGAAGGCGGCUCACUGGCCCGAUACUGACGCUGUGGCGCGAAAGCUAGGGGAGCGAACGGG
rnacentral:rRNA from 1 species